rnacentral:rRNA from 1 species
UUCCAUGAAGCUGGAAUUGCUAGUAAUGGCAGGUCAGCAUACUGCCGUGAAUACGUUCCCGGGCCUUGUACACACCGCCCGUCACACCAUGAGAGUUGGAAAUACCCGAAGCCUGUGAGCUAACUUAAAGAGGCAGCAGUCGAAGGUAGAGCCAAUGAUUGGGGUGAAGUCGUAACAAGGUAAC